GAGAGGCUUGGUGAAUUUUGGUUUUCGA
rnacentral:sRNA from 1 species